CCUACGGGAGGCUGCAGUGAGGAAUAUUGGUCAAUGGACGAGAGUCUGAACCAGCCAAGUAGCGUGAAGGAUGACUGCCCUAUGGGUCGUAAACUUCUUUUAUAUGGGAAUAAAAUGUUCCACGUGUGGGAUUCUGUAUGUACCAUAUGAAUAAGGAUCGGCUAACUCCGUGCCAGCAGCCGCGGUAAUACGGAGGAUCCGAGCGUUAUCCGGAUUUAUUGGGUUUAAAGGGAGCGUAGGUGGUUCGUUAAGUCAGUUGUGAAAGUUUGCGGCUCAACCGUAAAAUUGCAGUUGAAACUGGCAGUCUUGAGUACAGUAGAGGUGGGCGGAAUUCGUGGUGUAGCGGUGAAAUGCUUAGAUAUCACGAAGAACCCCGAUUGCGAAGGCAGCUCACUGGACUGCAACUGACACUGAGGCUCGAAAGUGUGGGUAUCAAACAGGAUUAGAUACCCGGGUAGUC
rnacentral:rRNA from 1 species